GAGAAUACAGAAAUUAAGGGAAUAAAGAAGUAGAAAAUACAGUUUGUUUGAGGUCGAAGGCUGCUCGUUUGAGUUGAUCGGAAAACAGGUUGUAGGGAAGAGAUAGAGUCUUUGUUAGGGGAUUUGCAGUGGUUUCAGGUGGCGGUGGUUCUUCUUCUUUGAUGAAUUCCGGCAUUUCAUUUGGAUAGAAACGAUCCGCCAUUUUGGGUUGACUUUGCUCUGAUUCUUGGAGGCUAAAGUAGAAGCCACAAAGGUUUAUUUAGGGAAAAUGCUUUCGAGCUAAAUUCCUUAUAGAUUUAUGUGUUUUGGAAAAAGGGAAUCGAAUAAUCCAACUGAUACAAUGAUUGUCUUUUAAAAAAAAUAAUCAGUUUUUGUUUUUUUUAAUAAAAUGAUUUUUUUUAAAACUAUGAAUAAGAUGCAUAUAUUUCUCUGGCUUCUUCUUGUGGGCCAUACAAUUAUAAAGACCAAUAAAGUGGUGUUUUCGUUCUAAUCAACCUUUAAAAAAGGAAAAUUUUCAUAUAUAUCCUUGCAAACACUGAUAAUUACGUAUAUAUCCUUUCAAAGUUUAUAAUUACUUAUAUAUCCUUCUAGGGAUGAGCAAAAGGACCGAACCGGCCAGAACCGGCCCGAACCGGACCGGACCGGGGAACCGGCUUCGGCCAAAAUCAAGACCCGACCCGGCCCGACGGUUCUACCGGUUUCGGUUCUACCGGUUCCCGGUUCCUACCGAUUCUUGUCGUGUCUUCAAAUGUUGGAACCGUUCCUUGAAAAAUAGCAUCAUACGGUUCCGGUUUUUGCCGGUUCUACCGGUUCCGGUUCCUACCGGUUCCCGGUUCCAAAAAUCCACAAAAAUAACGUCCCGGUCCCGGCCCGACCGGUUCCAUCGGGUUCCGGUACCGGUUCCGGCCGGUUCCCCGGUCCAUAUGCUCAUCCCUAUAUCCUUCUUAGACUACUAAACUCUCAUUUAUAUCCAAUCUUAUAAUUUAAUAAGAUAUAAAUCGAUUUAAUAUCAAAAAAUGUAUUUAAAAAUCAAAAAUACAUGUAAGUUUACCAAAAUACCCUUGCAAAUCUCAAUUGAUCCUCAGCCGUAAGCCAUUCAUUGAGAACCACCGACAAAACCAAGUUCAAUCUCCAUCUCGCUUUUUCUGGUCUUCCUCCUCCUUCUUCCCUCUUAGCGCUCUACCGACUACCACCAUAGGUAAGCCACAACAUUGCCCUUCAUGCUCUGCAACUUCAAAAAAAAAGUGUGCCGACCACUCCCCACCAUUCUGUCCUAGCUACUUCACCAUCCCCCUGUUCAAAAGCAGCACAUUCGAUCGUAGAAUGCUCGGAGUAGCAGCCCUUGAGUCUCGACAAACCACUCCAGCUAACACUGGUAACCAAGGGAACACAAUUUUUGCUUCAGCCCUCGAGUUCAUACCCUAAUUUGAUUCAAUUUUGGGUUUUUGAAAUUGUAAGUUGUAAACGAAAAGUACAUGUUUGUUGUGCACUGUACCUGUAGAGGUUUUCCCUCAUAGUCAAAAUCCUUCUGGCUAAAUUUCAUUUUCUUUUAUUUUAUCUUUUUACUAUUAUUUUAUUUUGAAGUUUAUUGUAUAAUUUUUGGCUGUAUAAGUAUGUACAAGAUGGAAAUCCAAUUAUAAAAAUACAAGAAAAGCAUUAUUAAAGUUUCAGCUGAUCAACCAAAGAUCAGACUUCUCUUUCGCCCUAUUCUAGCAUAAUAUCACAGGUUUUAACUCAUCAAUUACUAUUCAAAUGUAAUAAACAGUCGAAUAGUUGGCUUUGGUGUUGUGUAGUUUUAACUUUCAACUUGUUGAAGUGUGCUUGUAUCUUGUUUCAUGGUAUUCAGCUUCUAUUUUAGUACAUACUAUGGAUUUAUGAUGGUGCAUAUUUUGUACAUCUUAGUGUCCUUAUCUUCACAUGAUUGACCAAGUUUUUCCUGCAAAUUUGUUUUACGCACCAACUGUUCGACUGUUCUUCAGUCAAGUCAAGAUUUUCUUUUUCAGGAGAAGAAAAAACGAGAUUACAAUUAAUAAAUUCCAAAAUCUAAUCAAAGAUACAACCAAAAUUGCUUAAAUCAGUAAUAGAUAUAAACCUGUGAUGAGAAAAACGAACUUGAAUAGUGAAGAAGACAUGAGCAGGAAGACCUGAUGAAGCAAAUGCGAUGAAUAAGACCCAAACUUCAGUUGACGUAUGAUUAGGAUGUAUCACGAUGUCGAGUAUGUUAAAGGAGAAUCACGUGAUAUGGAGAUUCACGUUGCCAAGAUUAAUCACCAUUAAUCAUGAUUUUAAUUUAAUCUUUUAUUUGCAAAAGGGUAUUUUGGUACUUUAUAUGUAUUUUUAAUUUUUUAAUAUAUUUUUUGAUAUGAAAUUGAUUUAUAUCUUAUUAAAUUAUAUGAUUGGAUAUAAAUGAGAGUUUAGUAGGUUAAGAAGGAUAUAUAAGUAAUUAUAAACUUUGAAAGGAUAUAUAUACGUAAUUAUCAGUAUUUGCAAGGAUAUAUAUGAAAUUUUCCCUUUAAAAAACACAAUUUUAGUGUUUGGGAUAACUUCACACACCAAAUAUAAAGGUCAAACUACUUGGCCUCUAAAAUUCACAACUUUAGUGAUUGGUUGGAAUGCAAACACCAUUUUAGUGUUAACAAAUCACCAAUUUAAUGAUUUAUGGUUAGAGUUGCUUUAAGAAACAGUUCUUUGCUCCUAUUGGACCAAAACCUUUCUUUUUUUUAAAUUGAUGCUGGCUCUUAUCUCCUUAACAUACCACCACCUACUGACCACAAGUGUUGUUCAUGGGUUAGUUCUUAAACCAAGGUCACCGCCUUUUAAAGAUACGUGUUUUCUCCUCCCAAUUUUGGUGGUUUCGAGAAACUCCACCGCUUCUCUAUCUUUCUUCCGAUCGACAAAUCCUAAACGUACCCCAUCGCCAUUACAUCUUCUGCCUAUAUGUUUUUCCGGCUUUCAUGAAAAGGUUUACGCAUCGCAUAUUUCCUCCACCAUCGUCUUCACCGAGAAGCCAGCCUCACCACCACCAUCGACGUCCUUUUCAUCCCUAGCCCAGAUAAAAUCGAAAGGAAAAUCAAAGAAGAAACCACACAUCCUCAGCAACACCAUCCAACCACCCUCUAAGUAUUCCGACCACCGGAUGUAAGUAAGAAAAUCAUGAAUUACGGCCUUUUAUCCUUGCGGUUACGUAAUUUGUGGUGAAAACAAAGCUUUUACCUCAGAUGACGAAUUCCUUCACUCAUUGUGUUCAUUAACAAAUAUUGCACUCUAACUGUUUGUUGAUUUGCCACAACCUAUCGAGGAUAAAUCAGAAGAGGGUUCAGUCCACAGAGGUAAUUCAAAUAAAAUAAAGAUAACACAUUAAGUGAUUCCAAUUUUGGUUUUGAUUUUCAAAAGUUUAAAUAGAUUAAUUAAUCGAUUACUUCUUCAGAUGUUGUUAUUGCUAGAGUUUCAACAGAGAAGAAAGACAUUCUAAUUAGACCAUGGGAAGAAAGCGAGAAAUCAAAGAACAGCAAGAAAGCAGACUUACAAGCUGAAUCGAAGAAGAUUGAGAUAACAUUUACAUCAUAUCAUCGAUAAUCGAUAAUGAAAUAUGUUGAAAUAAAAUCAUGUAAUUGAAAAAUAAUUGUUAAGUACACCCCUUUUGGCAAGAUCAAAAUUUAGUUGAGCUGGAAAAAAUUUACACCUUUUUUGGUAAGAUCAAAAUAAGAAUCAUCAAAGGGUAAGUGUAAAAUUAUUUAUAUACCUUUAUUCCAUAUAUUAUUUUCUUAAAAUAAGCAUAAUUUGCCAAAGAAAACACCAUAAAAAUAUUAAUCUUCAAGCAACAGGAGCACAUUCAACCAUUAAAUUAAGGGCAUUUUUGUCCUUUGUUGCAUUCGCAGAAAAGAUCAACAGGGAAGAGGUAUUUAUAAUGCCACCAGUUAUGUUAAAUCUUAAUACUUUCUUUAUAUGGUGUUGGCCACAUGCUAUUGUUCUAUACAAUUUCUUGAUUACUGAUUUGGUUGCUUUGAUAAAUUGUUAGAAAGGUGGUGGAGAUUACUCGGUUUGAUUCAUAAUAUUCAUAUUAUUUUUGAUUUGCUUAUUUCUAAGUUAGAGACUUGGCUUUAAAUGUUAUAUGUGUAACUUCUUAUUUCAAGAUCUAUUGGAAUAUUCUUACAUUUUAACAAAGAUUUUUGGCUGUGGAAACUGUUUUGCAGACCUUCAAAUGUUAAAUUCAACCAAAGCUACAUCGAUUGCAUCAUUAAAGGUUAAGGAAGCAGGGUUUUUUUUUUUUUUUUUUUCAUUUUCACUUUAUUUUUCGUACUUUUUUCUAUGUCAUAUGGAUCGAUUAUGCUUCACUCGCUUAUUAUUUGUGUGCAAAAGCGUGGAAAUCUACUUCAUUGGGAUCGAUUUUGUUUGUUUUUCUACAAUUACGAUAAUAUCUGCCUUCAUGGUCGAUCAUCCCAAGGUAUUCCGAUCGUUUUUUCCUUGACUUUUUUUUGAUAGAGAUGAGUAGGGACUGUUUUUUCCAUUUAUGGCAAUGCACUUUCAUUUGUGUCUAUUUUAUAAUUUGUAGCAAAUCUCAUUAAAUUAAUAAAAAUGACCAUGUAUGGGCUUUUUAGCCAUUUAUAUCAAUGUACUUUUAUUAUAUUUACAAAGAUUCAUUAAAAUGUCCAUUAAUGGGGGAUUUUAUAUUUAUACCAACGUAUUUUCAAAUUAAUUAUUUAAUUGGUCUUUAACUUAUCUUUUUAAAUAAAUGGUAGAGCAAAUUGCAUAUUUUGUGUUUGCAUUAGACACCACCAAAUUUAUUUAGCUUAAUAAAUUAUGAAUAAUUUAUUAAGCUAAAUAAAUUUGGUUGUCUCUAAAUUUAGUUAUAUUUUUUUGUCCCGAUUCCAUGAAUUUAUGAUAUUAAGGUUAUAUCAAUUUCUGAUGUUUUUAAAUGAUGCACCAAACUAAUAAAAUAAUUUAUAAUUGUAACUAUGGUUGUAUAAAUGGGCGAAUUACACAUACGUACUUUCUUAUAAAUUUAAGGUUUAUGGAUAUGUUGGAAAUGACUAUGACCACGCCGUAUACAGGACAUCCAAUUCCCGACUUUCCCCGAACCAUAGCGAAGCAAGGGCAUUCCCCCUAGUUUAAAAUUAAAUUAAAGAUUGGUCAUUUUUAAUGUUUUUAUUUUUGUGUUUAAUUAUAGUUUACUAGUAUUUAAAAAAAUAAAUUCUUAAUACUCUUUAACCUGUUGCAAAAAGUAAGUUAUAUAUCAUCAAGAUUUCAUUUCACAUAAAUUAGUUAUCACAAUACAAAUAGUUUAGUGAGAAAAAAAACGGAAACAAGAUCCCGCAGCUAAACUUUUUUGUAUGAUAAAAUCAAAUUUUUUGAAGACUACAUCUAUAGAUCUAGGGGAUAUAACAUUGUUAUGUAUAAUCCGUUGUAUUAUAUUAAGAAGUUUCAUCGUGUCCGGUGCAAGGAAACAAUGACAAAUCUAUAACAAAAAACAACGUGGUUCCUUAUUUAAAUGAAAAUGAAAAAAAUAUGAAAAUAUAGGUCUUUUAGCAAAAAUAAGCUAGGUCCUAACUUUUUUCUAUAUAUAUUUGUUGUAUUGAAAAAAAAGGUAGGUCAUAGGACCUACCUUGUGAAUGCUUAGCUACGCCCCUACGAAGAAACCAAACAUAUCAAACGCAAAUGGUAUAAACACGUGUUGGUUUUCCAAGCGCGAUUUCUCAUGUUUUGUGACUUUGCAUGUGAUAGCUUUUAAAGCAGCAUGUACCGCAUUAAAACUCCCAACCCUCAAGCCCACGAGAGGGGAUACUUAUGUAAGAUCCACACAAGUGUGUUCCCUCUAACUCAUCUAAAAACCAAAACAUCAUUCGGUGUAAGAAUUGACCUUCCUUUUGUCAGGUCAGUUAAUUUAUUACAAAAAAUAAUAAUUAGAUAAACUCAUAUAUGUUUUAAAUAAUAAUACAAUAUGCAAAUGGACCCUUACUUUUUCUUCGUACCCAAUACAAUUUCCAUAAAUCAUAGGUGGUGGUUGAACCCUCUAUCACAGAUUUGUCAGCGAACAACAUUUCUUUGAACCAACUGAGGACCCCCAUAAUCCUCUUUAUCAUUAGACGGUUGUACGUUUGCAUCCUUCGUAAUGGUGAUUUUGAAACUCUCAAGGGGGAUUAUAUCAUUGAGUUUGGUAUCAUAAUAGUUGAUACCCAUUAGACAUUUGUUGAUACGGGUUCCCAUAGAUUUAAACCACGAUGCAUCUGCUGAAAAAUAGCCACCUUCCCAUUAACUAUUUUAUAUAGUUGAUGUGAGAGUCUGGAAAUCUAAAACUCCCAAAAACCAGUGGGCCUGCGAUAUAUUGAUAGGGAUGUAAACUUGCAAAACAAAUGUUAGAAUUAACUAAUUAUCAAAUAACAUUUUCUUAUAAGUGAUUAUUACUUAGAUAAUGUAAUUGAAAUACAAGUAUAUUGUAUCACACUCAAACCAGGUCAGGUAAAUGGAUCCAUCAACUAUGUUACACCACUCCUCUAUAUUUGUGUUGAAAGUCGUCGAUACAAAUAUCCACCAAACAUCAUCUCAUCCUUAUCAUCAACGAAAUCCAGAUCAUAUGAUGUGUUGUCAAUCAACACAUGUAAAAUAAAGUAAGUACCUAAUUGAUUGAUUAGUGUGUAAUGAUCACAUGUGUAUGUAACUUACAUCACAUUCCAACCGGCCCGAGUCAAUGUCCCUAUAAAUAUGCAUCUAAAACUCCAUCGUUGUUAUAUAAGUGAGAAACUGGUGAACAAACAGUAGUGAAGCAUCCCUUUUUUCAUAUAGAGUGUGAAUGCUAUCAGCUAUACAAUUGUCCCACGUUGGUGGGUGUUGGCGUGCAACGUCUUUCUUUUUCAUAUGUAUCCAUGGGGACCUCAACCAUAUAGAUGUAUGUGUUGCUGGAUGGGUACGACUAAGAGCCAGCAGUAGCAUUUUGUAAUUUGCCUAGGAAAUCUCUUUUAUCUCCAACGAGUAUACAAAUGAAGGCGUAAGUAUAUUGUCUAUCUAUAUAGUAGACUUCUGCUCCACUCCGUCAAACUGCAAAAAGAAAAUAUUAUAUUUAGUUAAGUUUUUAAUAAUACACGAACGUGUAAAAAAUACAUAUGUAAUUGUUGACGAACCUCAUAGUCAUGAGUCUAAAAGUCAUCAUCUUAUAAAGUAUCACGAUCCUAUAUGCUAAAUGGUUGUACAGGGGUAACCUUGUUACCCUAAAAUCAUUUAAUAGUUUCAUGUAAUUAAAUUAUCAACAAUGCAAUAAGAAUGUACCAUAAAGUUAAAUAAGAAUGUAAGGGAGUUAAAUAAGAAUGUACCUCCAACCUAUGUGAGAUACCAACAGUCUUUGUGACAACCUUAUUAUUAGGAUGUACCACAACUUUGAGUUGUAAAAUAUGUAUACCAUGUGCUAUCAACUCCCUCUGAAAUUCUUAAAGCUCCUUUGUAAGUCCAUUAUAUUAUUUUGUCCUUAUAUAAGGUACACUUUGUGGUGGUGGUGGUGGGGGGUUGGAUGCAUAUAAACAUAUUCUAUCAUCUCAUCGUGCCUAUUUUUGUGGAGGCUCAUAAUUAGAUGACUUUGCGAUGUGAUGACGUGAGAGGCGGUGCCCUAUGAACAUAUGAAGUAAGUAAAGUAUCGUAUUCAAUCCAUACGAAGCUAAAAGACCACUAGACCGCAAGACUCUCAUCUUUUUUCGACUGCAACUUCUCUAUAAGUUUAUUCCCCCCUAACAUAAUUAUAGAUCAAUUGUUAACUUCAUUAUACAUAGGGGUGAAAAUGAAAAUUUUAUAAAUAUAAGCAUACCUUUUGAACGUCAAUGAAGUUUUCAUAUUGAUGCUUCUUUAAAAUCCUAAUCUUGAACCAUCCAACAACCAAAUGGAUUACAUUCGUUUGUCGGGUAGCAAACAAAUAGCUGAAUGAAAAACUCCAGAAAAUCCAUAUCUUAAAUAAUCAUGUAUUAAACAUAUUAGCAAACAUAAAACAUUAAAUUGAUAAAUAAUAAUCAUGUAUUUUACCUUAAAAAUAUUUUUAAAUAUGUCAGUUUUUUAGGUUUUGUUUUGUUUUUCUUUUUUUUUUUGUUUUGUUUUUUUUUUGACGGGAUGAAUAAGCUUAUUGAAUAUCGUCUCUAGCAUAUUAGCAAACAUAAAACAUUAAAUCAAUAAUCAUGUAUUUGACAUUAAAAACAUAUAAAAAUCCGCUAGGUUGUAUGUCAAUUUUUGAGGUUGUGUUUCUUUUUCUUUGAUGGAAUGAAUAAGCUUAUAAAGCUCAUCUCUAGCUGAAAUUACAAUUGAUACCAAAUUAUUUUCCUCCACAGAUAUCCGCGACACCAAAAAAAUGCACAAUUAAUUCUGUAAAUAACAUUACUAAUAAUAUUUAUAAUUUAACGACAUGAUACAGGUUGAAAUCAUCAAAGUUGGACACCAAAUUGAAAUACUCAUCCUUCACGUUUUGACGAGGUAACCGGCCGUUAAACCCCUUCUUCAACAAAUAUAUUAUACAUACUCGGACCGCAUCCUCCUUCAAUAACUCAUUACUGAUGUUUCAAAGACAUUAAUAAAAUCUUUCAAUUUUACAGAAUCAAUCGUCUGACCGUGGGAAAGACACAUAAUUAGAAGGCGUGACCGGAAUCCAAAGAUACAAAAUAUUCACCAAACUGUGAGCAUAGGAAAUGGUUUUAAUGAUAUUCAACAAUAAAAACCACAAGCCACUUACAGGUUGUUUUUCUUUGAUUAAUAAGCUUUAUGGAUUCAACACUUAUUGACCUAAUGUUUCUUUUUAACGUAAAAUGCACAAGAUUGCUUUAAUACAUCAAGCAAAUAAAACCUGUCAUAUAUUAAGAGUUAAGACACCACCCAACUUGUAAUGUAUACAUCACUUUAUUCAGUCAUUCGGCUACUUUACAUUUACACAUACAUACGUGACUUGAUGGAGAAAAAGACUAUUUAUAUCUCAUAGGCAGGGAACCUAGCCAUGGAUGGAUCUACCAUGUCUAGAAAAAGAUAAGCUGUACCUCCAAUGCCUUCAAAUAGUGAAAAGGGUCGAUCACCUCCAUGCAUUGACCCUUGAGUUAUAAGGGUUUGACUUUUAUGAUAGAGGAAGGUGGCAAAAGCUUUGGCUCUGUAUAAGAACUUGAUGUCACCUGUUAAGCGAUAAAGGGAAAGAAAAACGUACGCAUUGCCACUGAUUCCAUGACAGAUUCCAACUUUUUUAAGUAAACCGCGUUUCCAUACCACCUCUCCCGCAUCAAUUGCUGCCUUUAAAAACUCAUCACUUCCAAAAACCUAUUAAGAUUUUAACAAACUUGAGUGUUUUAGAAGAUUUUUUAAGUUUAAGUUUAUCAAAUAUCAAUGGUUGAAUACAUACUGUGGCUGCUUUGGUGAGUGUAAGAACCAUCCCAGGAGCACCAUGGCACCAAUGAAUUAAGUGGUCUGAAUUACUACUUUCACUUGAUCGAUAGUUUCCACUAGAAAAACGGUUGUUAAUCAUGUAAAUAAGUGUACCCUUAACAUCUUUCAAUUCAUCUUCAGUCAACUCCAUGUCCAUUAAGACAUUCAUUAUCCCUGCUAACCCAUGAGCAGCUCCCCAAUACCUUUUUCCAUACCACUCAUACAUUAAUGGACAUUCACUAGUAGACAUAUUUCUACCAGCCUUGAUAAUUUCAUCUUUGAUUUCUCUCUGCAAACAUAAUAAAAAUCAAUUCUUUUUGCAAAAAGAAUGUAAAGAUGACAGACAAUCACAAAGCUUUACCAUGUGGGUGGAGGAUAUAAUGUUUUCACCAAGAUUCUUGUUAAUGAACAAACAUGCCCAUAAGUAACCUGCUCUACCAUAUAAUAGUUCAUUUGGAAGAUCUUUAGGAAGCUUAAUCUGUAAUGAAAAAUAAAAUCAAAAUCCAAUUGGCCCCAUGAACACAAUAAGAGCACACGUCAUGUUUAAUUACAUCAUCAAAUGAAUAACUACUACCUCUUUAAAUCUUGUCAAAUAGUGAUUAAACAAGUGAUCAUCGUUGCUUUGUUUGGCCACGACGACACCAAGAGCAGAUACACCGGCCUGACCACAGAUGAAUGUCACACGGCUGCGAUCGCAAUAAACUAUUAAUAACAAUCGUCUUGCUCAAAAACAGAUAUGGAAACAGAGAAUAAUGUAAACCUAGAGCCAACAGAGGCGGAAUCGCAAGCUUUAAGAAUGUCUUUACAUAAAUCAAGAUCUUUUUUGGUGUGGGUAACUUUGUAAGCUUUGAAAACCAUGAAAGCUGUGCCUAAGGCACCUGUGUACAGUGUGUAAUCCUUUAAACGUUUCCCGGUGUUUCCCCAAGUUUCCAACACAAUCUAUAAUUGGGAACAUGUGUAAAUCAAAAAUCAACACAAGGAAGAAAGGGAGAAAACAGAAAUUAAGGGAAUAAAGAAGUAGAAAAUACAGUGUCUUUGAGGUCGAAGGCUGCUCGUUUGAGUUGAUCGGAGAAUAGGUUGUAGGGAAGAGAUAGAGUCUUUGUCAGGGGAUUUGUGGUGGUUUCAGGUGGCGGUGGUUCUUCUUCUUUGAUGAAUUCCGGCAUUUCAUUUGGAUAGAAACGAUCAGCCAUUUUGGGUUGUGUUCGUUUGGACUUUGGAAGAUGUGAUCAGAUUCUUGGAGGCUAAGGUAGAACCGUAGAAGCCAGAAGGUUUAGGGAAAAUGCUUUCGAGCUAAAUUGCUUAUUGAUUUAUGUUCUAAAU
rnacentral:lncRNA from 1 species